UCGAAAUGCAUGCACAGCAUCAUGGGAGUUGUACUUCUACAACUUCUGGGGUGCUCCUUUUUUAACAACCCUGAUGUAAGGCACCUUCAUGUGGUAUUCUUGGUUCUCUGUGACUCUCCAUACGUUAUACUUUACAGGCAGUGACUGAAGAAUUAGGCAGCUGGAGCAGUCCUUAAUGAUCUAAUGUUCGCAUGCACAUUUUGAGCUUUAAGGGGCCCCAGAUAACCAUGUUUAUAACACUUUGGAGCAUAUUUUGGUAGUGAACAUAAAGCACAGUAAGUAGGUCUACAUCACUCAGGGCAGUAUUCUAUGACGUGUACAUUAGUGCCUGCUCAUUUUGAACUUGUUACCAUUCUACUUCUGCACUCCACUCACCGGCUCUUAUCCCUUUAAUCCAUAUACUCACUCACUGUUAUGGACAUAAUAUUAGCUUACUAAAAU